AAUAGAUACCCGGGUAGUCCACGCCGUAAACGUUGGGCGCUAGAUGUGGGGACCAUUCCACGGUUUCCGCGUCGUAGCUAACGCAUUAAGCGCCCCGCCUGGGGAGUACGGCCGCAAGGCUAAAACUCAAAGGAAUUGACGGGGGCCCGCACAAGCGGCGGAGCAUGCGGAUUAAUUCGAUGCAACGCGAAGAACCUUACCAAGGCUUGACAUAUGCGAGAACGCUCUAGAAAUAGAGAACUCUUUGGACACUCGUAUACAGGUGGUGCAUGGUUGUCGUCAGCUCGUGUCGUGAGAUGUUGGGUUAAGUCCCGCAACGAGCGCAACCCUCGUCGCAUGUUGCCAGCACGUAAUGGCGGGAACUCAUGUGAGACUGCCGGGGUCAACUCGGAGGAAGGUGGGGAUGACGUCAAAUCAUCAUGCCCCUUAUGUCUUGGGCUUCACGCAUGCUACAAUGGCCGGUACAAAGGGCUGCGAAACCGCAAGGUGGAGCGAAUCCCAAAAAGCCGGUCUCAGUUCGGA
rnacentral:rRNA from 1 species